AAUGACUUGAGUAGGGAAGGAUUUGUGUCCUCUCAGCUCAUGCCUUUUCCUUCCGCAACAGGAGAUGAACACCAAGGAGAGAUACAACUCUUCGGCCAGGAUCCGAGUCAAUGUCCUGGAUGGAGACGACCAGUAUCCCCAGUUUCUGCCGUGCAACGUCCUGUCACAUGAUGGUACCAGUGUGUGUGUCAGCCCCAUCUACACCACAAACAUCACGGAAGGGGAAAUCAAGACAGAACCCCUCCACUUCCUGCCUGGUGCCAUCCAUGCAGAAGAUGGGGACAGAGACCUGAGGACACCCGUUGUCUACUCCAUUCUUGCAGGGACCGACCAUGGCUACUUCCACAUGGACAACCUCACCGGGGCCAUCACAAUGUUGCGGCCAGUGGAGAGCCGGAUCUCUACUCCGGUGUAUAGCUUCAGCAUCAUGGUAGGUUCUGCCAUUGGAGGUAAGAAGGGAAUGAGGUAUA
rnacentral:lncRNA from 11 species